GCAUGCCUACAACAUAGCAUUAAUGCACCAGAUCCCAUUAGAACUCCGCAUUUAAGCACGCUCGGGCUAGAGUAGUACUGGGAUGGGUGACCACCCAAGAAGUCCUAAUAUUUUACAUGCC
rnacentral:rRNA from 1 species